rnacentral:lncRNA from 1 species
ACGGCCCAAACUCAAAGCUCAAAAAUGAAAGUCCAACAGGAUGAGUACGUUGGGCGUACCCUCCUUGGUACGCUGGGCGUACUGCAAUGGAACGCGAAUGAGGAUCGGGGCGUAAUCAAGGGUUACGCGGGGCGUAACUACAAUACUCAAUAAGGCCUUUUUACCUCUUAAUGGCUUAAGCUCUUAAGCCCAAACUUCAGAUCCCUAGGCCAAAUAUGAUUAGAAUUUAUAAAGUCUCAGACUUUAUCACUUGGGGGCGUCCAUAAGCUCUUAAUCCAAGGUCUUAAUCCAUUAAGACCUAUAUAUCUCACACAUGGAACAACUACAGCCCUUGGGUCCUCAUUUUUCUCACUCAAGACCUCUCCAAAGGUCUGAAAGGACAAGAAAUAUUGACCAAUUCGAUACAUGCAACAAGGUGAGGACUUUUGGGACAAGAAUGGUGACAAAGCUUCAAAAUACAUAGAUCUACACAAUAUGAAGGUCAAGCAAGAAGCUUUAUACCUCAAACAAGCUCCAAAGGAUGGUAUCUCUUCAGAUCUACAAGCUCUACACGUUCUUCUUUUUCUUUGACAACUUCUAUUUUCUCCUUCAAGCCUUUCUUUUGCCAAAAAGAGCUUUCCAAGGUCAAACACACCCAAAAAUGGAGAAAACACGAGAUCUAGGGUUUUCUGAGGUUAAGGAUGAGCAUAAGGAGGCUAAGGGGUGAACCAACAUGUUCCUUAUAUAGUGGCUAACCCUAAAAUAGGGUUUGCGGUUUCUGAGAGUACGCUGGGCGUACCUCCCUGGUACGCUAGGCGUACUCACCCGGCCACCCGCAACUUCUCUCCCCUUUACGCUGGGCGUACGUCCAGUUUACGCUGGGCGUACCCAGCCAGACUUCAAAAUAAUUGCAUGCAUGCCAUGCAUGCAUGGGACGCUUUUUCCACUUAUACCACAAGGAGCUAUAAACAAUGAUUAACUUCUAAAUGCCGCAGCUCCUCUAAUCUAAACCCUCUCCGAAAUAACUUAUCAUUCAUACGAGAGUGACGAGAAGCCCAAUGCUUCUAACACAUACACCAGCCCGAAACCUUCUCGGAUAAAACUCAUUUCUCGCAAAAAGGACCAGAAUUACCCUUCCUCUUAAGUCUCAGGGACUCAUAAAUAAAAACUUAAUGAACGGGGUGUUACAAUUCUCCCCAACUUAAAUUAGGCUUCGCCCUCGAAGCCUGCGACAACUCUACUCUGAAACUAUCCCUGCAAUGCACCGCCUUGCAUUCACUGAACCAGGCUAACCAAGACUCAACCAUCGAAAUCUGAAACCCAACUUUAUCUUUCUUGCUGACAGAAGACACAUUCUUCAGAGCAACUCCCAUGAGUUCUCCUCUAGCAAUCACAUACACAUGCUGAACUAGCUCUAGCAUCCUCGGGUUGGGAAAACCCAUCACACUGACGACACCACCAAACAUCCCCCAGGAGGAACCGCUACUACAUACCCAAUUCCCUGAUCAGAAUCACACUAAGAGCCCAAGACUCCCUCCCUGCACCCCUUCUGAGCCUCUUGGCUCUACACCCGCAUAAUUCCUUCCGCGACCUCAGCAGACAUCCCAAAACGGAUGUGAUUCCAUUCCACUGCCACAAACACGCUGCUCAAUGAGCAUACUUGGAUCACUCUAAUCAUAACCCUGCUCUGCCAUUUUCACUUUCGUGAAUUCGCACUCCCUCUCGGAGUUACACUCCUCUCCCUCUCCUUACCAAGGAAAACCACUUGGCUGCCUUGACACUACCACAAGUUCCACGACGCUCGCCCAAUGCUACACCACUCCUUCAUAGCGUAUCUGUUAUCCAACCAACACACAUGAUCUGACUCUGCUUGCAAGGACUCUCGAGUCCAUGCACCAUCUCCACUAAUCAAGAUCAAUACUCGGGGCCAGACCUUCUAAUGCUUACACAUCAUAACAUACUCAAUCCAUUUCCUCGAACUGCUCUAUCAAUACCUGCAGAGUCUUCAGCAUGACUGGACCGCCUUAACAGGCCUUCAGCCAAUUUGGACCACUCUCAGAACCUUCAGCCAAUUUGGACCGCCCUCCAGUGCCUUCAGUCUGGCUGGACCGUUCUCCGAGCCUUCGGCCUGACUGGUAUGCCUACCGGCCUUUAGUCUAUCCGGACCGCUCAACUAACAUCCAUCAUUCUGAGCUAUCUCUCUGGGAAAUCCUCCCAUAUAUACUGUUCUAGCCCUCUACGGGUUCCAAACUCUAUCUCCAUCAUACAUACUCGAUCCCGGCCCAAGCCCAGGCCUUCCACAAUCAAAUGCCCUAGGUUUGUAUCCCGCCCCACAUGCCCGACACUUACUCAUACCAGCCUACACUCUGGGCUGACAGAACACUGCUGAAUCCCAAACAGCUAAGCAACCUCACAUGCUCAUCGAUCUUCCGGAGAAUUUUUCCAAUUCUCCCCCACUUAGGGUACUGACUAUCAACCACCGGUCGCCAUCACCGACCUCCCAAAAGAACUCUGCACAAAACCAACACUUACAUGCGGGCUGUUUCCCACUAGCUCUAACAACCUUCACAAAAAUCACAUUUUCACACUGAUUAUCCCGCUCGAAAGAAACUCAAUCUGCAGCUAACCACUCCUUAGGAAGCAGAUGCUUCCCGUCAUUCAGACCAAAAGCCAAUUUCCACUAAUCAUCCUCAUAAAUAAUAACCAACGAAAUUUCCAUACAAUAACCCAUAACCAAACCACAACCCUCAAAAACAACGAAUACCGAACCGAAAAUCACACAAAGAUACUAGCACAUAAACAAUACUCUACAAUAAUCACAAGAAAAUCAAUAUAAGAAGAAAGGAACAUACCUGCGUCUGCAUCCGGCACUGCUCUGACCUCCUCUGCUGUGAUCCUCAAAGUGGCCGGUGCUGGAGCCUGCACCAGUUCUGCAGCGAGCUGUGGACAGUUGACCCUCAAAUGUCCAACCUGAUGACAAUGAUAACAACUCCUAAAAUCCCGAACCGGCGCUGAGUGCCUGCAAUCCCUCACAUAGUGCCCCUCCUUUCCGCACUUGCGGCAUGCACCACCGGACCUACAAACUCCGGUGUGACUCCUCCCACACUUCCCACAAGUUUGGCUACUCAGAUCCCCUACUCUAGAAUCAACGGUCUUGGACCGUUUCGGUGCCGGCUGCGACUGCACCGGAGUCUGCCUCAGCUCACGCAACUACAACUCAAUCUCUAACUCACGCCGCCUGGCGGCCUCCUGCAACUCCAACAAGGUCUCACACCUCUGCAUAGACACAAACUGUCUGAUAUCCCUCUUGAGCAUGCUCAGAUAUCUGGACAUCUGAGCCUUCUCUGAAACGAACUCAGGGCAAAACAUCGCCCUCUCAGUGAACAUCCUGGUGAACUCAGUCACCGACUCCGAAUCCUGCUUCAGCUCAAGGAACUCCUGAGCCAAUCUCUCCCUCUCAACUCGCGGAACAUAACGAGUGUUGAACAUCUCUCUGAACUGAUCCCAUGAAACCGCAGCCCUCUACGCAUCCGAUUAUGACCCCGUGGUCAAUCACCACCAAUCCUUCUCCCCGAGCCUUAACAAGUUAAGAGCACAUCUCACCCUCUGAUCGGCUGGGCAUGAACACGUGAAGAAACACCCCUCCAUGUCCGAUAACCAUCUCAUAGCAACAAUCGGGUCCUGAACUCCAUCAAAGGUGGGAGGCUUCGUAUUAUCGAAGUCCCGAUACUGAAAACCCCGACUAACUCCUCCCCUUGCCGCUGCUACAGCCGCUGUAGCCGCCGCGACAACCGUCUCUGUGAGAGCCGCAUAGCGCUCAUCACAAUACUCAACCAUGGCGGUCUUGAUCGACCCGAACAGUUCCGGCAACUCAGCCCGAUACAACGCAGCAAUCUCAUCCCGCAGGAUCUCAUGAAUCCUCGCAUCCAACUCGCACGUGCUCAUCUGACCAAUAACCACGGGAGGCACAGACCCACCCGAAACUCCCUCUCUUGCUCCCGAUCCUGAACUGGAUCCACUCCCAGCAUGCCUCGGAAUCUCCAUACUGAAAAACACCACAAAAUCUCAGACACUUCCCACUAUCCCGGGAACCAACUCUCUCAUCCCAACCCUAGAGGUCAUGGUUUCCCUGAUACGCGUAUGGGUCCUGUGCUUUCAGAAGUACGCGGCCAUACUACCUUCCACACCUACCCAUAUUUGUAUGAAGUACUACCACAACACCAUAGUGAAAACAUGUAAACAAACGCUCAACCCUCACUACUAGAGGAACACUGGAAAUCUUCCACAAUGAAACCUUAGGCUAACACGCAUCAUAAAUCAGGCAACAUUAUCAUGAAAUCCUGGAGAUCUCUAGCCUAGCACUAGCAUGCUGUUCUAUCAAAACUCAAAAACAAAUAUCAUGUAUCGUAUUUUGGGGUUACUUACUGGCUCAGGCUGACCGUACCUCCGCGUCCUCCUUUACUCAUUUUAAAAACCAUUUUAAAUUCUCUUUUGAAAACUCUCCUCGAUUUGAGACUAGAGUCACACGAGUGUUCCUCCGAUUCACUGAAACCAAGGCUCAGAUACCAACUUGUAACGACCAAAAAUUUCAACAGAAAUUAAACUUUUCAAAAACAACCCAUUUUAAUAAUGUUUUUACAAAAGGGUUUUCAAUACAUUUAUUAUCAGACUAUUCCCAGAACCAUGUCAUCAACAUAAACACGAGGAGCGGUACGAUCACGACUUCGCCUAGCCACGGUCUCCUGAAGAACCUGAAAAGCAUUUAAACCACAACUGUAAGCCCGAAAGCUUAGUGAGAUACCCCCAAUAUACCAACCACAUAUACGCCCUUCCACGCUACGACCUUCCGAUCCAAAACAUAUUGCCUUCCGGCCCAUAACAUAAAUAGCAUACAUAACAUAACAGAACAUAGAACAACCAUGCACUUCGGGUCUACUGUGAGACUGGUCCGCCGCACCGUCCAACAGUCCACCUGGUCCACCCUCUGAGUCUAGCCAUGUACAUGGAGUCUGCAGUGUGAUUGGUCCGCCCGUACCGGGCCUUCAAUCCACUUGGUCCACUCUCUGAGUCUACAGUGUGACUGGUCCGCCCGCACCGGGCCUUCAUUCGGCCUGGUCCACUCUCCGAGCCUCGGCACGUCUGGUCCACCCUCUUUGGGCCUGCAGCCUAUCCGGACCACUUGCUGGGCCUUCGGAACAACCGGUCCGCCCUGAGUUUCUUGGCCUACAGCACAAAGCAGGACCCACCUCAACCCAACUCCAGUCCAAACAACCAUGUGCACAUAAACAUACAAUCAUAUAACAAUUCACAGUCAACAAGCCGAUCAAAUAGAUCACAUAACAUAUCAUUAUCCUAACCAGGAUACCGACCUAACCGGUCACUAGCAUAGCAUCACCCUACCUCUCAGGAUACCGAUCUCAAUCACGUCUCUACCACAUACCAUCCUAGCUACCAGGAUGCAAACAUAUCAAAGCAAUAACAUAGCAACACAUACCCGGAUCUCAAUCCGAUAAGGGUCGGCCUUGGUGCCUUAGACCCUGUUGAUAUAGUGAGGAUAACUCACCUCGUGAAUGCCGAUACUCUAAACUGAAGAAGCGGACUCUCAAAUCACCUACUCACCGCAAAUCCCGAACUCACCAUCAUAAGAAAAUAAACAUUAGGUCAAUCAUACUUCCACAUAUCAGACCAAGACCAAAGUCCAAAUCUCAUACAAAGUCCAACAUUGGCCCAAUUUACCAAAUUGGGCCCACUUCACCAAAUGGGCAUAGAACCAAUGUCCAUAACAAUAAUUGGGUCCAAAAUACUCUAUCCAUAAAUUCCCAGACUUGGCCCAAUAACCAACUGUCCACCAACGGCCCAAACUCAAAGCCCAAAAAUGAAAGUCCAACAGGAGGAGUACGCUGGGCGUACCCUCCUUGGUACGCUGGGCGUACUGCAAUGAAACGUGAAUGAGGAUCGGGGCUUUGGCCCGCUACGCGGGGCGUAAUCAAGGGUUACGUGGGGCGUAACUACAAUACUCAAUAAGUCCUUUUAACCUCUUAAUGGCUUAAGCUCUUAAGCCCAAACUUUAGAUCCCUAGGCCAAAUGUGAUUAGAAUUCAUAAAGUCUCAGACUUUAUCACUUGGGCUGUCUAUAAGCUCUUAAUCCAAGGUCUUAAUCCAUUAAGACCUAUAUAUCUCACACAUGGAUAAACUACAGCCCUUAGGACCUCAUUUUUCUCACUCAAGACCUCUCCAAAGGUCUGAAAGGACAGGAAAUCUUGACCAGUUCGAUACAUGCAACAAGGUGAGGACUUUUGGGACAAGAAUGGUGACAAAGCUUCAAAAUACAUAGAUCUACACUAUAUGAAGGUCAAGCAAGAAGCUUUAUACCUCAAACAAGCUCCAAAGGAUGGUAUCUCUUCAGAUCUACAAGCUCGACACGUUCUUCUUCUUCUUUGACAACAUCUCUUUUCUCCAUCAAGCCUUUCUUUUUCCAAAAAGAGCUUUCCAAGGUCAAACACACCCAAAAAUGGAGAGAACACGAGAUCUAGGGUUUUCUGAGGUUAAGGAUGAGCAUAAAGAGGCUAAGGGGUGAACCAACAUGUUCCUUAUAUAGUGGCUGACCCUAAAAUAGGGUUUGGGGUUUCUGAGAGUACGUUGGGCGUACCUCCCUAGUACGCUGGGCGUACUCACCCGACCACCCGCAACUUCUCUCCCCUUUAUGCUGGGCGUACCCAGCCAGACUUCAAAAUAAUUGCAUGCAUGCCAUGCAUGCAUGGGACCCUUUUUCCACUUAUACCACCAGGAGCUAUAAACAAUGAUUAACUUCUAAACGUUGCAACUCCUCUAAUCUAAACCCGCUCCCAAAUAACUUAUCAUUCAUACGAGAGUGACGAGAAGCCCAAUGCUUCUAACACAUACACCAGCCCGAAACCUUCUCGGAUAAAACUCAUUUCUCGC